AGGAUGAACGCUGGCGACGUGGAUAAGGCAUGCAAGUCGAACGGAUACUAUAGCAAUAUAGUAUUAGUGGCGAACGAGGUAGUAAUAGGUAGGUACGCACCCUGAAGUCGAGAAUAACUGAUCGAAAGAUCAGCUAAUACUCGAUAGUCUCUUCGGAGUAAAGUUUUAACGCUUCAGGAGCGGCCUGCUCGGUAUCAGCUAGUUGGUAGUGUAAAAGACUACCAAGGCUAUGACGCCUAGGGGAGCUGAGAGGCUGACCCCCCACGAUGGAACUGAGACACGGUCCAUACACCUACGGGUGGCUGCAGUCGAGAAUCUUCCACAAUGGACGAAA
rnacentral:rRNA from 1 species